rnacentral:lncRNA from 1 species
UUCAUACUUAAAAUUGAGUACACACGGUUGCAAAUCAUCAGUGGCCAGCAGGUUGAACUGAUACUGAUGGAUAGAUGUUCAACGGGGUUCUGGAUAAAGUAGUGGCACGUGAGUCACGUGACAACAACAUACCGAGCGGGCACACACUGUCCCUUCCGCGAAACCGGCAAAGUCUGCAAGUGGAUCCAGUUUAAAAUCGUUAUAAAAGGUACGUUGAGAAUUCAAUAAAUUGUCGUUUUGAUUAGCAGAAAUUAGAAUUUAUCUGAAAGAAUGAGGAAGAGAUUUGGUAAGUGGAAAAGAUUAGCGAGACAGCAGAGGGGAAAGCUCUACAUUAUAAGAGUUUGCAUUACUAUGCUUCUCUGUUGGGACAAGUAUUCCUAGUAAUGUAAAAUUUUGAUGUCUUUUUUAAGAUUUUAUUUUUUAUACAUUAAAUUUAUUUUCUUAAUUUGCAGGGUUUGUUUAGUUUCAUGAUUGUUUUCCUGUCUCUGCACUUUUGGGGAUACAUAUAUUCAAGCAAAUUAAAAUCCCAAAAUGGAACCAUAUUUAUUCUGCAUUUACUCUUUCCCAUUUUCUACUCCCACCCCUCGUGCGUGGACAAUAUUAGCUUGUCUGGUAAGUGGAAUGCAGCGUAAUGGACAAUAUUAUAGAAAGAUGUUUUGUUUAUGUUUCCUGUAAGGUAGUAACAUAGUGAAGAUGUAUUCGUUCUACUCACCACACGAUAGUUUUUUUUGUAAUUCCCUAGUUGCUGUUGGGAAUCUACUCAAACAUGCACAGCGGAAAUUAAAAUAGAUUUUGAUUUCCACUAGAAAUCGUCUUUGUGUUUAAAUAGAAAUUGUGAUAAAA